UCACGAGGAGGUCGUCCCGGAGGCGAGGGUCGAGGAUCGCGAUUCCUUGGACGAGGCUAAGCGGAGCUCUCCUAAUUACCGAGUGACAGGGACAACAAUAGCGAUUCAUGCUGCUGAUAUAAUUGCUUUGUCAAAGCUUACCUGCUUAGUGCUACCAUAGGAGCACUGUCGUUUGCUCCAACCUAAGUCAAUAUGGAGAUCGGACGACACAGAUGAAACGUGCAGUCUUGUUGAGCGUAUACUACACCCGGAACCCAU